UACGGGGGGAGCAAGCGUUGUUCGGAAUUACUGGGCGUAAAGGGUGCGCAGGCGGCCGCGCAAGUCGAGUGUGAAAGCCCCGGGCUUAACUUGGGAAUUGCGCUCGAAACUACGUGGCUGGAGUGUGGCAGAGGAAGGUGGAAUUCCACGUGUAGCGGUGAAAUGCGUAGAUAUGCGGAGGAACACCAAUGGCGAAGGCAAUCUCCUGGACCUGCACUGACGCUCAUGCACGAAAGCGUGGGGAGCAAACAGG
rnacentral:rRNA from 1 species